UAUGCCAGGGGGAGCGGUAAAAUGUUAUAAUCCCUGGUAGACUACCUAUGGCGAAGGCAUCUGACCAGAACGGAUUCGACGGUGAGGGACGAAAGCUAGGGGAGCAAAACGGAUUAGAUACCCGAGUAGUCCUAGCUGUAAACUCUGCGAACUAGGUGUUGCGCAUUCUUCGUGAAUACGCAGUAUCGAAAUGAAGAUGUUUAGUUCGCCGCCUGGGAAGUACGGUCGCAAGACUGAAACUUAAAGGAAU
rnacentral:rRNA from 1 species